rnacentral:rRNA from 1 species
AACGAACGCUGGCGGCAUGCUUAACACAUGCAAGUCGAACGCAUGUAGCAAUACAUGAGUGGCAGACGGGUGAGUAACGCGUGGGAACGUACCCUAAAGUUCGGAAUAACGAUUAGAAAUGAUCGCUAAUACCGGAUACGCUCGAAAGAGGAAAGGUUUACCGCUUUGGGAGCGGCCCGCGUUAGAUUAGGUAGUUGGAGGGGUAAAGGCCUACCAAGCCUACGAUCUAUAGCUGGUCUGAGAGGAUGAUCAGCCACACUGGGACUGGGAACCGGCCCAGACUCCUACGGGAGGCAGCAGUGGGGAAUAUUGGACAAUGGGGGAAACCCUGAUCCAGCAAUGCCGCGUGGGUGAUGAAGGCCUUCGGGUUGUAAAGCUCUUUUACCCGCGACGAUAAUGACGGUAGCGGGAGAAUAAGCCCCGGCUAACUUCGUGCCAGCCGCCGCUGUAA